CGUUGGUGAACCAGCGGAGGGAUCAUUACCGAGUUUACAACUCCCAAACCCCUGUGAACAUACCAUUUGUUGCCUCGGCGGUGCCUGCUUCGGCAGCCCGCCAGAGGACCCAAACCCUUGAUUUUAUACAGUAUCUUCUGAGUAAAUGAUUAAAUAAAUCAAAACUUUCAACAACGGAUCUCUUGGUUCUGGCAUCGAUGAAGAACGCAGCGAAAUGCGAUAAGUAAUGUGAAUUGCAGAAUUCAGUGAAUCAUCGAAUCUUUGAACGCACAUUGCGCCCGCCAGUAUUCUGGCGGGCAUGCCUGUUCGAGCGUCAUUUCAACCCUCAAGCCCCCGGGCUUGGUGUUGGAGAUCGGCGUGCCCCCCGGGGCGCGCCGGCUCCCAAAUAUAGUGGCGGUCUCGCUGUAGCUUCCUCUGCGUAGUAGCACACCUCGCAAUGGAAAACAGCGUGGCCACGCCGUUAAACCCCCCACUUCUGAAAGGUUGACCUCGGAUCAGGUAGGAAUACCCGCUGAACUUAAGCAUAUCAAUAA
rnacentral:rRNA from 1 species